rnacentral:rRNA from 1 species
AGACUUUCAACAACGGAUCUCUUGGUUCUGGCAUCGAUGAAGAACGCAGCGAAAUGCGAUAAGUAAUGUGAAUUGCAGAAUUCAGUGAAUCAUCGAAUCUUUGAACGCACAUUGCGCCCGCCAGCAUUCUGGCGGGCAUGCCUGCCCGAGCGUCAUUU